GACGAACGCUGGCGGCGUGCUUAACACAUGCAAGUCGAACGGAAAGGCCCUGCUUUUGUGGGGUGCUCGAGUGGCGAACGGGUGAGUAACACGUGAGUAACCUGCCCUUGACUUUGGGAUAACUUCAGGAAACUGGGGCUAAUACCGGAUAGGAGCUCCUGCUGCAUGGUGGGGGUUGGAAAGUUUCGGCGGUUGGGGAUGGACUCGCGGCUUAUCAGCUUGUUGGUGGGGUAGUGGCUUACCAAGGCUUUGACGGGUAGCCGGCCUGAGAGGGUGACCGGCCACAUUGGGACUGAGAUACGGCCCAGACUCCUACGGGAGGCAGCAGUGGGGAAUAUUGCACAAUGGGCGAAAGCCUGAUGCAGCAACGCCGCGUGCGGGAUGACGGCCUUCGGGUUGUAAACCGCUUUCGCCUGUGACGAAGCGUGAGUGACGGUAAUGGGUAAAGAAGCACCAGCUAACUACGUG
rnacentral:rRNA from 1 species